GCGGGCGUAGCUCAGGGGUAGAGCGUCUGCUUCCCAAGCAGAAGGUCGUGGGUUCAAAUCCCAUCGCCCGCU
rnacentral:tRNA from 1 species